rnacentral:piRNA from 1 species
UAUGUCAGAUGAACAUAAAGGGAGA